GAUGAACGCUGGCGGCGUGCCUAAUACAUGCAAGUCGAGCGAGCGGACGAGAAGCUUGCUUUUCUGAUGUUAGCGGCGGACGGGUGAGUAACACGUGGAUAACCUACCUAUAAGACUGGGAUAACUUCGGGAAACCGGAGCUAAUACCGGAUAAUAUUUUGAACCGCAUGGUUCAAAAGUGAAAGACGGUCUUGCUGUCACUUAUAGAUGGAUCCGCGCUGCAUUAGCUAGUUGGUAAGGUAACGGCUUACCAAGGCAACGAUGCAUAGCCGACCUGAGAGGGUGAUCGGCCACACUGGAACUGAGACACGGUCCAGACUCCUACGGGAGGCAGCAGUAGGGAAUCUUCCGCAAUGGGCGAAAGCCUGACGGAGCAACGCCGCGUGAGUGAUGAAGGUCUUCGGAUCGUAAAACUCUGUUAUUAGGGAAGAACAUAUGUGUAAGUAACUGUGCACAUCUUGACGGUACCUAUUCAGAAAGCCACGGCUAACUACGUG
rnacentral:rRNA from 1 species